ACCCUCUGGUUCCUUUUCCCAUCAGAUCUUGAUGCUGUUCUUGGUGGUUGUAAAGGAGGAAGAGCACACUGAAACUGGCCUCAUAGCAAUGUAGUCUUGUAUAGAGCAUUGGGUCAGAUUCCUACAUGC
rnacentral:snoRNA from 1 species